rfam:Brassica oleracea var. oleracea cultivar TO1000 chromosome C4, whole genome shotgun sequence
GGAAUAUAAGAAUCCGUCUCUUAACUUUUAACUUAAAAAAGUUAAGAACCGGUUUUUAAAAUUUUUAUUUAAGAACCGGUUCUUAGCUUUUUAAGUUAAAAAUUAAGAGAUGGAUUUUUAUAUUCC